GAUGAAGAACGCAGCGAAAUGCGAUAAGUAAUGUGAAUUGCAGAAUUCAGUGAAUCAUCGAAUCUUUGAACGCACAUUGCGCCCGCCAGUAUUCUGGCGGGCAUGCCUGUUCGAGCGUCAUUACAACCCUCAGGCCCCCGGGCCUGGCGUUGGGGAUCGGCAGAAGCCCCCUGUGGGCACACGCCGUCCCUCAAAUACAGUGGCGGUCCCGCCGCAGCUUCCAUUGCGUAGUAGCUAACACCUCGCAACUGGAGAGCGGCGCGGCCAUGCCGUAAAACACCCAACUUCUGAAUGUUGACCUCGAAUCAGGUAGGAAUACCCGCUGAACUUAAGCAUAUCAAUAAGCGGAGGA
rnacentral:misc_RNA from 1 species